rnacentral:rRNA from 1 species
UACAUGUGGGGCAAGCGUUGUUCGGAAUUACUGGGCAUAAAGGAUGCGUAGGCGGCUUGAUAAGUCAGUGGUGAAAUCGUCCGGCCCAACCGGACACGUGCCAAUGAUACUGUCGAGCUUGAGUGCGUGAGGGGUGAAAAAAACGAGCAGUGUAGCGGUGAAAUGCGUAGAUAUUGCUCGGAAGGCCAAAGCCGAAGGGACCCCACUGGUACGCAACUGACGCUGAGGCACGAAAGCAUGGGGAGCAAACAGG